GUGUCAGAAUCGCUAUUAUGAUCCUAAUUCGAAAAGUUCUUUUCAUGCUCUAUGAGUUUGAUGCUUCAUUAUUACAUCCGAUUUUAAGAGCAGAUUAUAUUGUGUGACAGAUCAAUGGGAGCCCGCACUAUAAGAAUAAUCUUUAUUAACGAUGGAUAUUAGUGAUGGCUAACAAGCCAAUGCUAUCGGUGAUAUUUACUGACGAAUUAUUAUGAUGGAAAAAAAAUCAUCGUUAAAGGGUUGAAGAUCUUUUAGCGAUAGCAUAACCAUCGUUAUAACUCUUAAAUUUUAAUUAAUUAUUUAUUUUAAUUAUUUUAAAUAUAAUUAGUUAUUAAUGAUGGCUUUAGCGACAUAACUUUUGCUAUCGCUAAUACAGUACCCUAACAUCUCUCAUUCUCAAUCGAUUAUUUUCCAUCGCGAACCCUCCUCCCCCUUCUUCUCCUACCUUCGGUCCCACUUCUUUCUCCACCACACCGCCAUAAUCCCUAUUGGAGUUCUCGUCCCCGCACCCUAAUCCUCACAUCGGAUUUGCCGUCCCCAUGCCCCUGCCUCCCCCCUUCUUGCCCCGUCGCA
rnacentral:lncRNA from 1 species